rnacentral:rRNA from 1 species
GUAGGAGGCGAGCGUUGUCCGGCUUUAUUGGGCGUAAAGAGCGCGCAGGCGGCUUGGUAAGUCGGAUGUGAAAACCCGGGGCUCAACCCCGGGCCUGCAUCCGAUACUGCCCGGCUAGAGGUAGGUAGGGGAGAUCGGAAUUCCUGGUGUAGCGGUGAAAUGCGCAGAUAUCAGGAGGAACACCGGUGGCGAAGGCGGAUCUCUGGGCCUUACCUGACGCUCAGGCGCGAAAGCUAGGGGAGCGAACAGGAUUAGAUACCCUGGUAGUCCUAGCUGUAAACGUUGGGGUGCUAGGUGUGGGCGGAUAUCGACCCCGUCCGUGCCGAAGCUAACGCAUUAAGCACCCCGCCUGGGGAGUACGGCCGCAAGGCUA